UACGUAGGGGGCAAGCGUUGGUCCGGAUUUAUUGGGCGUUAAAGCGCGUGUAGGCGGCCAGGUAGGUCGGUUGUGAAAUUGGAGGACUCAACCUCCAGAGUCGAUCGAAACCCUCUGGUAGAGUCCGGAAGAGGAGAAUGGAAUUCCUGGUGUAGCGGUGGAAUGCGCAGAUAUCAGGAGGAACACCAAUAGCGAAGGCAGCUCGCUGGGACGGUAUUGACGCUAAGGCGCGAAAGCGUGGGGAGCAAACAGG
rnacentral:rRNA from 1 species